AUUGAACGCUGGCGGCAUGCCUUACACAUGCAAGUCGAACGGCAGCACGGGUGCUUGCACCUGGUGGCGAGUGGCGAACGGGUGAGUAAUACAUCGGAACGUACCUUAUCGUGGGGGAUAACGCAGCGAAAGCUGUGCUAAUACCGCAUACGCCCUGAGGGGGAAAGCGGGGGAUCGCAAGACCUCGCGCGAUUAGAGCGGCCGAUGCCUGAUUAGCUUGUUGGUGGGGUAAAAGCCCACCAAGGCGACGAUCAGUAGCUGGUCUGAGAGGACGAUCAGCCACACUGGGACUGAGACACGGCCCAGACUCCUACGGGAGGCAGCAGUGGGGAAUUUUGGACAAUGGGGGCAACCCUGAUCCAGCAAUGCCGCGUGAGUGAAGAAGGCCUUCGGGUUGUAAAGCUCUUUUGUCAGGGAAGAAACACCGGCUCUAACACAGUCCGGGAAUGACGGUACCUGAAGAAUAAGCACCGGCUAACUACGUGCCAGCCGCCGCGGUAACAC
rnacentral:rRNA from 1 species